GGGGAUGUAGCUCAGUGGUAGAGUGUUUGCCUAGAAUGCAAUAGGUCCAGCGUUCAAUCCCA
rnacentral:tRNA from 1 species